UACGUAGGGCGCAAGCGUUGUCCGGAAUUAUUGGGCGUAAAGAGCUCGUAGGUGGUCUGUUACGUCUGCUGUGAAAACCCAGGGCUUAACCCUGGGCCUGCAGUGGAUACGGGCAGACUAGAGGUAGGUAGGGGAGAAUGGAAUUCCUGGUGUAGCGGUGGAAUGCGCAGAUAUCAGGAGGAACACCGGUGGCGAAGGCGAGUCUCUGGGCCGAUACUGACACUGAGAAGCGAAAGCGUGGGGAGCGAACAGG
rnacentral:rRNA from 1 species